ensembl:lncRNA
GAGAGACUCAUUCACCGCGUCUCUCCCCUCUGAUCGUGAAUACGAGUUUCUAGUUGUUACGUUAAUCUCACCCCACCCUGGAACGCUUAUUUUGUUGCGUCUACAGACUAGACCCCUCGGUCAUCCGUCGACGGACGGAGGUAGUGUGAAUGCGCCCUGGCCUGAAUACGCGCGGACCAUGGACCUCUAAAGACCGUUUGGAAUGCGCCCGGACCGUUUUGAGUACACCAUCCGGGUCCUUUCAGUGCACUGCUUUCCCCCCGAUCGUAAUUGGAACGCCCUAAUCAAACUAACUUGCAUCUUGCCAACUGUGAGUGUGUCAAACUGCGUCUGCGAUGGCACAACCUUCACUGUGUUACCAGGCAAACCAGUGAUUUUAAUUAACAUCAAUGGACGUUAUGACUUGCAUCAGCCACUGUAUGUAUGUCAGACGUGCCAGCAGCAGAGGACCCCUGACAUGAAGCACUUCCUUCAGAGUGGAUAUUGGCCAGCCUCUCUCAAUACUUCCACGUUGUACACGUUGGACCUCUUGAGCUCCUUUCAGGAACUGAAAGUAAUCUCUCCGGGAUUCUCCAGACAGGCCUUCGCAAAGCUCCUGGAGCAUCGCACCAAGUGUGGAGGACGAUCUGGACAUAUCAAAGGUGACACCCUGCAGCGCAGCUUCUUGGAGUUUUCAUAUGCUUCGUUUGAGAAGGACCAACUCUGCUGUGGUGCUGUUUUCACCUGCCCAGCCUGCACACCAGAAAUGUUGGCUGUUUCAGUAGAUGGAAACAGAAAGUUAUAUCGCUUUCGCCGAAAUGGAAGUUCUGGUGACCAUGCCUUUUUUGAAGGUUUAUUUGUGGCUGAAGACAGUGCAGUGUCUGGAUUUGUGGACAUGAUCCAGAAAGCUGUGAAAAAG